rnacentral:rRNA from 1 species
UACAGAGGGGCAAGCGUUGUUCGGAAUUACUGGGCGUAAAGGGCGCGUAGGCGGCCUGCUAAGUCGAACGUGAAAUCCCUGGGCUCAACCCAGGAACUGCGUCCGAUACUGGUUGGCUUGAAUCCGGGAGAGGGAUGUGGAAUUCCAGGUGUAGCGGUGAAAUGCGUAGAUAUCUGGAGGAACACCGGUGGCGAAGGCGACAUCCUGGACCGGUAUUGACGCUGAGGCGCGAAAGCCAGGGGAGCAACGGGG